rnacentral:rRNA from 1 species
CCCCUUUUUUUAAACAUCGCCUCCUGCAAAAAUCAACGUAUAAGAGGUCCUACCUGCCCAGUGACUAAGUUAAACGGCCGCGGUAUUUUGACCGUGCAAAGGUAGCGCAAUCACUUGUCUUUUAAAUAAAGACCUGUAUGAAUGGUGAAACGAGGGCUUAACUGUCUCCCUUUUCUAAUCAGUGAAAUUGAUCUACCCGUGCAGAAGCGGGUAUAAGUAUACAAGACGAGAAGACCCUAUGGAGCUUUAGACAUAAAGUCAUCUAUGUUAAAAACCCCUAAUAAAAGGAACAAAACAAAAUAGUAACUGGCCAAUGUCUUCGGUUGGGGCGACCACGGGGAAAAGCAAAUCCCCCACGUGGAAUGGGAAACCCUCCUAAAACCACGAGGUACACCUCUAAGUCACAGUAUUUCUGACCAAAGGAUCCGGCACUUAGCCGAUCAACGAACCAAGUUACCCUAGGGAUAACAGCGCAAUCCCCUUCGAGAGUCCUUAUCGACAAGGGGGUUUACGACCUCGAUGUUGGAUCAGGACAUCCUAAUGGUGCAGCCGCUAUUAAGGGUUCGUUUGUUCAACGAUUAAAGUCCUACGUGAU